rnacentral:rRNA from 1 species
ACGGAAGGCAGCAGUGAGGAAUAUUGGUCAAUGGGCGAGAGCCUGAACCAGCCAAGUAGCGUGCAGGAUGACGGCCCUAUGGGUUGUAAACUGCUUUUGUGCGGGAAUAACGUGCUCCACGUGUGGGGCAGUGCAUGUACCGUACGAAUAAGGAUCGGCUAACUCCGUGCCAGCAGCCGCGGUAAUACGGAGGAUCCGAGCGUUAUCCGGAUUUAUUGGGUUUAAAGGGAGCGUAGGCGGAAGGUCAAGUCAGCUGUGAAAUGUAGUCGCUCAACGUCUGCACUGCAGUUGAAACUGGCCUCCUUGAGUGCGUAAGAGGCAGGCGGAAUUCGUCGUGUAGCGGUGAAAUGCUUAGAUAUGACGAAGAACUCCGAUUGGGAAGCCAGCUUACUGUAGCGCCACUGACGCUGAUGCUCGAAAGCGUGGGUAUCGAACAGGAUUAGAUACCCUGGUA